GGUCCCUAUCCGUCGUGGGCGUAGGAAAUUUGAGAGGAGCUGUCCUUAGUACGAGAGGACCGGGAUGGACAUACCUCUGGUGUACCAGUUGUCGUGCCAACGGCAUAGCUGGGUAGCUAUGUGUGGACGGGAUAAGUGCUGAAAGCAUCUAAGCAUGAAGCCCCCCUCAAGAUGAGAUUUCUUAACUUCGGUUAUAAGAUCCCUCAAAGAUGAUGAGGUUAAUAGGUUCGAGGUGGAAGCAUGGUGACAUGUGGAGCUGACGAAUACUAAUCGAUCGAAGACUUAAUCAA
rnacentral:rRNA from 1 species